AGAAGAAACAUGGUUUUAUGUACAAAUAAUUUAACUUGAUUAAACAGAAAACGCUCCUUUUUGCUCCUGAACAGCUAGCAAGUCUGUACCUGGAAGAAAAUGUAUAAACACUAUUAAAUAUAGCUCACCACACUGAAUGCUUCAACACACAAGUGUCCAUUUUCAAAAUCUAUUGCUUAAUUUUGAUUCUGUGUGUGAUAAGAGUAUCUUACAGAGAUGUCUCUGUAUUGCUAAUGCCAGUUCUGUCUCAGUCCUGUAAUGAUGACAGGACUUUUGUUAGAAGUAGUGUCAGUUUCUGAUGGUUUUUUAAAUGCCAUGUCAUUCCAUCACUCUCUGUAUGAAAAGACAAGAACAUCAGGUUCCAAUUUCUGUUUUUGUGACUCAUUCACUAGCAGAGGCUGCAGGCCUCGUGAUAGCCUGCAAGAACCAAAAUAAUUUUGACAAAAGACCAGUAGCCUCGAAUCCCCUUUCCAAGGAAUAAUCACGGAUUUACAUUAGGGCUGCAACAACAUUGUAAUGAUUUAGGCUUGCAAUAAAAUUUGUAGCAGAAUUAAUCAAAGUCUGCCUUAGAGUAGUAGACCAUCUGCAGGGGCCUGUCAUUAUUACUAAUGCCAAAGAACAGAAUAUACCCAGUAUGGACAACACCAUUUGGUGUAGAGCUCUGAAAAGAAAUAUUUUGCCAAAUUAUAUUGGAAAAUAUAAUGUGCAGUUCAAGUAAAGAACAAGAAAAAAAAAAACAGCUAAGCCAUUCAUUGUAAUAGCAGAAACAAGAUCCAUACAACUUCACAGUCACAUAAUCCAAACUCUCUGAUAAUAUUAAUUCCCUACACCAAGGACAAUACUGGAAUCCAAACACAAAGCGCAGGAAUAUAACACAGGAUAAUAUACACUUAAGACAGACUUCUUUGCAGCUGAUGAAAGUUCUCAUUUCAGUUUGAUUACAGGAACAUCUGUGUUGUCUCUGAUGUCAUGAUACAGGUGGAUGUCAUUAAACAUAAAAAGAAGCAAGCCAGAUCAGGAAACAGAAUUCCUUCCCCAUAUAUGAUCUUGACUACAAUGAAGUUGGCAAAUAAAAUCAGUCAUGGGAUUGUCUACUCUCAAUACUUCAUCUUUUCUCAGCAGAACUACUGGUUCUGACAUCCCUUAUAUACAUCUCUAAGCUUCCUGCUGUAACUCUCCAUCCCCGUACAUGUCAACAGAACUCUUAAGUCUCCUUCUCGUCCAGGCACUAACUGCCCACCCAAGCACUCAUCCGAUCAGAGCCAGGAGUUGCUUCUAUUCGCUCACUUCUCCAGUCGGGGUGGUCAUCACGCAGAGAUUACGUGGUCCGUUUGACUUCUGCUCUCGUCUCCUGGAGACAGCCUUUGUUCUCAGUGUCCUCUUCUGCACCCUGUCAAACUUGUUGUACAACCUCUAUUCUGAAUGUUGCCUUGAGCCCUCACACAAGAUUGUAGUUAUCUAUCUAUCCUCCACUUCAGUGACUGGACAAUUGUAAUUUUCAUUGAAGAAGCCGUAAAUUCAUUGUCCAAUUUUCUUACUGUUGUAGUCGUACCAUACAAAAGGAUCUUGUGUCAGAGUUGUAACACAGAAGAGCUAAUGGCCCGUGCCAUUCUACUUCAUUUAUAUUCUGCUCUUUGAAAACUCAAGGGAAGUUAGAUAUAGAAUUAAAGGUAUCAUUUUUGUUGCUAUAAUUAAAUAUCUAUCUGUAUUUCUAUGACAAUGAUCUAUUACACUGACUUUAUGAAAUAUGGCCAUUACUUGAGGAUCUAAAUUCAGGUGAUUAUGUACACUUAUCUUACCAAUUCUAAACUAAAAAUACAGAUGUUUUUCUUAUUUUAUUUUCUCACUUUUAUCUCUUAGAACCAGCUCUGUAACUUACAUGUAUGCUAACACAAUUAAAUGUAUCUAGGACCACUCUGACAUCCAGAGGAAAUGACUUAGAAUGGAUUCAUGCUGCUACAAUCUCUUACCUCCCAAAAUAGAGUACUCCCAUGUAGAUUUGCUCUUGGGAUCACAUUAAACUGUGCCAACUUCCUUAACAUACCUUGGAACUGGGAGAAGGGGAAUUUGUCUAACCCAAAAGAUGAUAGGUACUGUUUUAAAAGUACAGGCAAUUAAGAUCCAGUGCUAAGAAGUGCCUCCGGAUCCUGUUUAAUUUACUGGCAUAAAUGUAACUGUCAGUGAAAUUUGGUAGAUUCUGAAGACAUUCUUUUUUCUGCAUGAAGAUGCAUCUAGUAAAUAAGUCAUUCUCAUAAUCUUAAAUGUGCCUUAAAAAACACUACUUUAAUAUUGAUGAUUUCAUAUGAAGUGCCUUCCUUUAUUUAAGAGGGGCUUAUAGAUCCGUGGUUUCACUUGAUUUUGUCUGGUUUUGCACUCCUCCUCUAAGAGUUUCUACUUUCCUUAUUACUUUAUAUCCCCACCUUUACAUCGUAUUCCACUUACUUGAUUCACUAAGUAUCUUUUUUACUAAGAGUAAUUUGUGACUUCAGUAAUGGAAACACAACCAUGUAUCAUGAUCGAAGAAUUGGUACAUACAACAAUGAAGGUCUAUGUUAAGUUAAAUGCAUUGUUGUUUCUUUAUUAAACUAUAUAUUGAAGUGCUGUAACAUGAUAGAGACUGUUUACAUGUUAUUGUAGAAUUUUACAGAAGUGUUUUUGAAAGUUGGUUUUUGUGAUAUAUACCAAAAUAAAGUUCACACCACAACACAGCCUGAAGAGAAGAGUCAUUGCCUUUCUUAGCUUAUGUACAGACUUGGGUGUGCCAGUGCCCAGCUGUUCAAUGGUGUUCAUAUGGUAAAGUGUUCACUGUAACUGAACACUUCUGUAGUUGCAGUGCAUAGGUUAGCACUGUGUUAGCAAAGAUUAAAAUCACAAUUUGUGUUCAAAAAGAAAAAAAGGGAACAAGUACUUACAAGUUAAAAUAAACAGGGAGAAAUGUUUUCUAAUUGUCAGCUUGAUAUUAGGUAACAUUUCCUUACAAAUAGGUACAAAAUGGCUGCUUCCUUCUAGUCAGUCUGGCACAUCUAUUUCUAGUGGAUUGCAAAUCUAAGCAUAUGCAUUUUGCAAGACUGAAUAUGUCUGAGGUACCACUGCAGUGGCAGAGAACAUAGCAAAUCUUGCAAAUUCAAGGAGUCUGUUCUUUCUGUUGUUAUCACUCAAUAAGCCAUUGUUCAGAGAAAAAAAAUCCAUGAGUGUGACUAUGCCUAAUCUCCACUGCCAAUUUUGUAGGCAUCCUCAUUGUUCAAUUGAUUCUGCUGGGGGGAGUCGAUUUAAAAGCCCAAGAAAAAAAGAGGAAAAAAAUUAAACUUUAAAGCUUAGUGAAAUCACUAAUAACUUUAAUUUUUCCAAGAAAUUUAGGUUGCAUAUGAAAUAAGUAAUUUUAAUUUCAACAUAGCUUUUCUUUAUCUUAGGAACAAAAAUUAUACAAAUCUGCUGAAAAAUGACAGAAAUCUCAAAACACAGAGGGCAAACAGUGGAGCCUAUAAACAGCUGUUGCUCUAUCAUUCCUCCACCUUUAAGAAUGAAGUAUAUGCACUACUGUCAAUCCAUUAGCACUGAGUAGACCAGUACAAGUGUGGAAAAAAAAAGAAAAAAGAAAAAAAAAAGCCAGGAGAAAACCAUGAUCAAUACUGAAACUCCAUAAAAUGUUGAGGAGCAGAUUCAGAACUCCCUGAAAAAUCAGAUGAUAGACACAAAUAGAAGUACAAACACCUUAGUGAAAAUACUAGAUAGGGGAAGAAAUAUCUAAGCAAAGUUUCUAUAGAUUUAUCAGCCACAUAAGAGUUAAGAGAAUAGCAGUGGUAAACCUUACAAACAAUGCUUAAUUCAAUUGUAUUAAAACUACUACUUGCUCCUUUAGAAUGUAUACAAGUGAAACCAUAAACUAUAAAUCACACGGGAUUUCCUCUUGGGAUGAAGGAGUAGCCUGCCAUAUAGCGCUGAUUUAUUCAGAAAUCUUCAGGGCAAUUGGAAAGCAGAUAUGUAUAGGAAAAAGCAGACAUGGAAACCAUGUGUUACAGAAGUAGCAACUGCAGUAAAGGAGAGGAUAAAUGCAUUUAUCACUGAAGUAUGGCUCAAUUAAAAUAUUUUUAUAAGCCAUGAAAUAUCAGGCUACAUUACGGAGCACAGCUUCUUGAUGCCUCCAUAAACUGUACUGCUAGUGCUAUAUUGCAAUAGCAUAUGGCCAUCUUUAAUAUGAACAGUGGAACUGGAGAGAUACUGGGAUAAAAUGAGGUAGUUAUAACCGGAGUAUUUUUAAUAAUGUCUCUGUUCCUUAUUUAAAUUUACUCUGGGUUUUCCAAAAUAUACUUUUCUUUCCUGCCUUUACCUUUUAAUACCUUAUUUAAGACUUUUUAAUAUCUUGAUCAGGCAACUAUGAAGCGUAGUACGUCUGGAAAUGAGUAGAAAUAUUUUUCAGCUACAGCAGUUUGUCUGAGAGAAAGGAUUACCUCCCUGCAAAAAAUUAUCUCACUGCAAAUAUUUUUCCUGCUUUCUUUCAUGCAGCUAAUGGAUUCAUGCUUUUGGCAUUUAAGUACAGUUGUAGUUUUAGGAUUCUAAAUAGCACUACAGCCUUUGCUUUACAGACAGAAGGGUUUAUUUUGAAACAAAGGAAACUAAGCAAACCUACUUUGAUGUCUGUAGUGAGAGAAAAAGACAGGAAUACAUGCAAAAGAAAGAAUUCUGGAUGCUGUCAAUUAUUUGAUUUAUUAUAAUUUACAAAGAUUGGUUAG